UCGGAUAUGGUGUAGUGGCUAACAUUAUCGCCUCUCAUUGGAUACUCAUGUAUCCCAUAACGCGAUAGCCCGGGGUUCAAUUCCCCGUAUCCGAA